rnacentral:rRNA from 1 species
AGUGAACGCUGGCGGUAGGCCUAACACAUGCAAGUCGAACGGCAGCACAGUAAGAGCUUGCUCUUACGGGUGGCGAGUGGCGGACGGGUGAGGAAUACAUCGGAAUCUACUUUUUCGUGGGGGAUAACGUAGGGAAACUUACGCUAAUACCGCAUACGACCUACGGGUGAAAGCAGGGGAUCUCCGGACCUUGCGCGAUUGAAUGAGCCGAUGUCGGAUUAGCUAGUUGGCGGGGUAAAGGCCCACCAAGGCGACGAUCCGUAGCUGGUCUGAGAGGAUGAUCAGCCACACUGGAACUGAGACACGGUCCAGACUCCUACGGGAGGCAGCAGUGGGGAAUAUUGGACAAUGGGCGCAAGCCUGAUCCAGCCAUACCGCGUGGGUGAAGAAGGCCUCCGGGUUGUAAAGCCCUUUUGUUGGGAAAGAAAAGCAGCAGGUUAAUACCCCGCUGUUCUGACGGUACCCAAAGAAUAAGCACCGGCUAACUUCGUG